GCUCCGGUGGCCCAGUGGUUAGAUCGUCCGCCUCUGAUGCGUGAGGUUGUGGGUUCAAUCCCCGGCCGAAUCA